GUGAGGAAUAUUGGUCAAUGGGCGAGAGCCUGAACCAGCCAAGUCGCGUGAAGGAAGAAGGAUCUAUGGUUCGUAAACUUCUUUUGCAGGGGAAUAAAGUGCAGGACGUGUCCUGUUUUGUAUGUACCCUGAGAAUAAGGAUCGGCUAACUCCGUGCCAGCAGCCGCGGUAAUACGGAGGAUCCGAGCGUUAUCCGGAUUUAUUGGGUUUAAAGGGUGCGUAGGUGGUUUGAUAAGUCAGCGGUGAAAGUUUGCAGCUUAACUGUAAAAAUGCCGUUGAAACUGUCGGACUUGAGUGUCAAUGAUGUAGGCGGAAUGCGUGGUGUAGCGGUGAAAUGCAUAGAUAUCACGCAGAACUCCGAUUGCGAAGGCAGCUUACUAAGCUACAACUGACACUGAAGCACGAAAGCGUGGGGAUCAAACAGGAUUAGAAACCCGAGUAGUCC
rnacentral:rRNA from 1 species